UUAAGAAGCUCGUAGUUGAAUUUCGGGGUUAGUAGGUUGGUCAUGCCUCUGGUAUGUACUGGUCUCACUGAUUCCACCUUCCUGAUGAACCGUAAUGCCAUUAAUUUGGUGUUGCGGGGAAUUUGGACUGUUACUUUGAAAAAAUUAGAGUGUUUAAAGCAAGCUAACGCUUGAAUACAUUAGCAUGGGAUAAUGAAAUAGGACGUUCGAUCCUAUUUUGUUGGUUUCUAGGAUUGACGUAAUGAUUAAUAGGGAUAGUUGGGGG
rnacentral:rRNA from 1 species